UGUAGUAGAGUUAAAAUGGUUAUUCCAUCAAACUUCAAAUUAUUAGAAUAGUACACAAAGCAAACAGAACGACCAGGUUGAGGGUCAGUGGCCAAAGCCCGUGAACAGGAAUAUUCCAAGUUCAGACAGAAGGGGGGAGUCAGAUCGCUAUGAUCGCCAGGAACUUCUUUUUUGGUUUCUAUUCUUAAUUGUUGCGCUACUGGUGCUGCCUGUUGAUGUUAGGUAGGCAGCUACAGUAGCUGAAUGUUGUUAACAUCUUCGGGUUUUGUUUCAUUAAAUGUAUUUUAUUUCAUCUGGGUGUUUGUGUCACCUACUAACACCCUGGUACUACCCGUAGCUCCCGUUCUCCUCAGUCCGAGAAAACACUGAGAAAGGUAUGUGUUGCAGAAUACUCCUUUGUAGAAGUCCAUAACGUGAAAUAAAUAAAUCAUCCCAAGAACAACUUGUCAGAUGGUGCAUUGGAUACUGAUGUGUUCCUGUCCUGUCUUUUCACAAUACUAUUGCAGGUAUGGUUCUAUUGUCUAAGAAUUAAGAUUAUACAUACUUUGUAUUAAGGAUUGGUUAUUAUUUUAUAGUAUACAUUAUGGCUUUAUGUAUGAGUGUGAUUGUGUGAGUCCGAGAAAACACUGAAAGAGAAAGAACAACGUGUCAGAUGGUGCAUUGGAGACUGAUGUGUUCCUGUCCUGUCUUUUCACAAUACUAUUGCAGAUCAACAUAAAAGCCUAAAAGACA